rnacentral:rRNA from 1 species
AACGAACGCUGGCGGCAGGCCUAACACAUGCAAGUCGAACGGACCCUUCGGGGUUAGUGGCGCACGGGUGAGUAACACGUGGGAAUAUGCCCUUAGGUACGGGACAACAGCUGGAAACGGCUGCUAAUACCGUAUGAUAUCGAGAGAUCAAAGAUUUAUCGCCUAAGGAUUAGCCCGCGUUAGAUUAGGUAGUUGGUGGGGUAAGAGCCUACCAAGCCUACGAUCUAUAGCUGGUCUCAGAGGAUGAUCAGCCACACUGGAACUGAGACACGGUCCAGACUCCUACGAGAGGCAGCAGUGAGAAAUAUUGGACAAUGGGCGAAAGCCUGAUCCAGCCAUGCCGCGUGAAUGAUGAAGGCCUUAGGGUUGUAAAGUUCUUUUAGUAGUGAAGAUGAUGACUGUAACUACAGAAAAAGCCCCGGCUAACUCCGUGCCAGCAGCCGCAGUAACAC